CAGGAGCCCGAGCAGGCGGGAGGGUAUAUAUAUAUAUAUAUAUAUGGUUAGGGGAGUCCAUCUCAGCCCUUCAAGUGCUGAGCAAUAUAGAGAAGAACUGGUUCCAAGGAGACAGUCUCAGCCCUCCUCAGAGUAGACUUCCUGAGCUCAUAGGAUUUACUUCAUGUGUGGAGCAUAUGAGAUACUCAGGAGUGUUUAUUCUUGAGUGUAUCGACGAGUAAAUGCCUAAACAGAUGGAAAGCGAAGGAUGGGCUCCCCUGGAAAAGGAAGGGCCCUCUCUUCACUAUGGACACAAGACUUUGAAAAUAAGUUUGAGUCACAAGACACAGGCCCUGCCGCCCCCACACUCCGCAAACACAAACACACACAUGCACACACUCCCUCCUGCAAACACAAACACACACUCUUUGCCAACACAAACGGCUCUCUCUGCAAACACGCGGUCGCCGGGACCCAAACUCGCCCCUCAGAUUCACACCCAGGCCACCAUGCCUGCAGGUCACAGCCUUGCGCGCCUCCAGUGCCCAGCGUUCAAAGUGACACAGACUCUGUCAGGAUGGUUCAAAUGCAAAUCUCUGCAACUGCGUUAGCCGCUUCUAACCAAGACAGAAAGCUGCCGUCCUGUCCUUCGUGUCUGUCCCCAUACCCCAUAUCGGGUAGCUUUUCUUUCAGCAUUGUCCAGACACCAUCAUAUGCCUACAUCGCACAAGUUCUCUGAGGCCAGAUAAUUGGCAGCACUCCUGUUGUGUGCCGAGAGUGCAGAAAAGGGCUAUCCCGAAAAGGUGUGAUCUGGAAAGAAGGAAAAAACAAUUCCCAGGUCUGUCUGCACGGCGCCGCAAGGGGCCGGGGAAAACUCCUGAACUAGAAGGCAAAUGUGGAUUGGGCUCCCACUGCGGGCAGGGCUGUGCUCGACGUCCACCCGCCAGGAAAACAGGCCAGAAAUACAAUGGGCGAUCAGUGGAGUCACAGGGGGUACACUGAUGGUGGGGGAGUAUGAGCGUGGGCUAGGCGAGUGAGUUUGGAAGGUUUCCGGAGAUGGCCGCACUUAACGCACGCACGUGAGAAAGAGUUGGCGGCAGGAGCCGAAAGGAGGCAGGAAAAGAACAUGGAACAGGCUGGAAUGAGAGGUCCCCUCUGCAAGCAAGGCCGAGGAACUUAGGCCUGCUUUGGGCCCAAAGCCCUGGGGAAUCGGAUCCCACAUCUCACCAACUCAAGAGCUAGGUCAACCUUUGUGCGGCCACAGUGCCACCUGGUGGUCCCUGGGGAAAUGUCAUCUCAGCAUUGAAAAAGCCACACAAGGAUUGCAAAACAACCAACCGUACACCACUUUAUUUAGAUAUUUAUCAAAAAAAGUACAAAGUGUUAAAAAUGUGUUCUGAACUUCAUGUUCUUUUGUUUUUUGUUUUAACAUACGGAGCAUGGCACCUGUAGCAAGCAGUUACCUGAUCUGAGAAAAGCAAGAAUGAAGUCAGAGUCUUCCUCCUCACCUGCUGAAGGUCGUUGUUUAUACAAACUGGUGGAUACACAAGGAUAGAGCCACUCAUUCAGCUGCUAGGCUGACAGGGAACCUCAUCUCCCAGAGUCCCCAAGUCUAGAUGGAAAAGAGCCCACCCACCUCGCUGGAGUUGGACCCCUGGGGCAGGCAGGGUACAGCAAGUUCCCAGGCCUGAAGGAGGCAGUGGGAGGCACAGAAUACUGGAACCAUAGCCUGAGAUGCAGGACACACUAGGAGAUGAGACUGGGGUAAGUCGGGAGUGGAGAGGGCCCACUCUUCUCACCGAUCUGAUGCCGGCCAGUGAUCCGAACUGGGCCAGAACCGGACUUCAGGCGGAAGGUGACAGGUGGUUGGAGUUGGAAAUCAUCCACACUGAGCUGGAAGACAAGAAUGACGGGCUGAGCCGUGCUGGCCCACCCACUUGGAGAUCAAUACCGAAGUUCUCAGUCCCACCAGACUCCGAGAGGAAUGAACGGCUCCAACUCACCAUGGGCUGGCAAGACAACCUGAGGUUGGCCACAGGAACUGCAAUCUCCUGAUUGUCGUGAUCCCGGGCCACAACUUCCACCACAUUACACUCGUCCGUGGCCCCCUCGGUAAGGCACAGCUGAAAGGCAGGCAGAACCUCAGCGUCUCAAGUGAGGGAGGGCUGACACCAAAGCCAAGGCGUCUUACCCCAAAAUCGGCCUAGUCCCAGUGGCACCGGAUGCGGGGACCAGAGGGUGGAGGAGAGGGGCGACAGGCGGAGUGUCGGCUAGCCCCCCGCAUCUCCAACUCCCUCUGCGGCCCCUUACCAUGUUCAACGCCAGCACGUGCUCCGUGUCAUCCUCCUCCUCAACCUU
rnacentral:lncRNA from 1 species